UACGUAGGGACCAAGCGUUGUUCGGAUUUACUGGGCGUAAAGGGCGCGUAGGCGGCGCGGUAAGUCACUUGUGAAAUCUCUGAGCUUAACUCAGAACGGCCAAGUGAUACUGCAGUGCUAGAGUGUGGAAGGGGCAAUCGGAAUUCUUGGUGUAGCGGUGAAAUGCGUAGAUAUCAAGAGGAACACCUGAGGUGAAGACGGGUUGCUGGGCCAAUACUGACGCUGAGGUGCGAAAGCGUGGGGAGCAAACAGG
rnacentral:rRNA from 1 species